CUGGAAUUGUGCUAGAGAUUUGACAUUAGUAAGAGCUGGGAUGCUCGGCUUAAAAAUAUCUGUCCAUCUAUAUUUAAACCUCCUGUGAAAAACGUAAUGGCCAAAACACAGCUGGGCUCACAAUUACACUCACAAUUUAGCAUUUUUCAGGCAUUUUAAAGCAUGCUCUAUUCAUAAUUUUGGAGUAAAAAAAAAUAAAAAUACAGUAGGCAGAUGAGAAAACAAACCAUAAUAGUUAUUAAGAGGUGUACAAUAAAGCAAGAGCAUACUCGAAAUAUUCCAAACAGUACUGGGACAUUCUUCAUGUAAUUUCUUCAUGUAAAUACCUAUUCAGAUUGUAUUCAUUCACAGGUAGACAAAGAGAAGAGUUCUACGCAGAAUAUUAGAAGCAUGAGAAGGUUAGCCUUGACAUAUCCAAACUCUGACAAAAGUGGUAUCGUUACUGAAUGGUUGUUACAAUGUAAUCUGACAAAAUGGCAUUCAUUUUAUUCCCAAUUGUAUUGACUUUAGUUCCUAUCUAUCCAUCCUACAAAAUACAGAUUGUUUUAUUCUGUGAACUAAUAAUUGGUGAGUAAGGAUCAGCGAAGUCAAAUGAAAUGCUCCAGAUGAGAUUUAAAUGCCCACUAUCUUUAAAAACCCAGAUAUAGUUUGCAUGUCGGUGGCCCUGAUGGUCAGGUGGUGUGAAAUUUGCAGAGCAGCUGGCCUGUCAGUGUUUAUCGUGACCAUUCUUCCCCAUUAAUUGAACACGCCAAGCACCAUAACCACUAUAACUCGCUUUACUAACAGCAUGGCUUCUCACAUGGGAUCUGUUAGGUACUACUCCUGGCCUACACUCAGCCUCCUGGAGAGCUGGAUGGAGCUGUGAGGAGCUUCUGUAUGCUCUCCUGAGCCAAGUCCUGCAAUGCAGGGCUCAGAUUAUUGGCUGAGAGUAUUAUGAGAUUGCCCUUAGCCAGUGACUGCCAGGCUUAGCUCAGAGCUGAGAGCUUCUGGCUGCAGUGGAGGUAGGGAGCAGCACUCAGCAGGCACCAGAUAAGAAAUCAAACUACAGCUCCCUUAAGUGGUUAUGGUGCAUGGAGUGUUCUCUAAAGGGGAUGUUUAUAAUAUCACUUUAUACCUGAAAGUAUAGAAUUUCCA